CUUUUCUCCACAGGUUUGCAGAUCAAGAACGAGAACGCCGCAUGUGGAAGGAGAGACGGUUGUGGCGGCCAUUAACUACCGUGCCCACUGGCCAGAGGAACUGGACUUCAGUCAUGGAGAUGUGAUCCAGGUUCUGUUCAAAGAGGACCACUCCUGGUGGUUCGGACGCCUUCAGAACGGCAAGGAGGGCUACUUCCCUGCAGCAUGUGUCACCACAUGUGUCCAGGGCAGAGAGGCGGCUAAAGCCACACCUAAUCCGAGAAGGAGAGGUUCCGUUCCUGUGGUAGUGGCUACUGUAGACGCCCCCUGUGGUCGAACAGGCGCACCCAGUACCCCCAAACCUGUGAGGAAAAACAGCAUCCUCCAGACGCUAGGACACGACGCGUCCUACACGACAGGAGGUCCGGCUCCUCAAGGCUCCCCCAGCCUCCUCCACCGUGUGCUGACCAAGUCAAGGAGGAAAAGCUGCCCCCA